UGGGGGAUAUUGCACAAUGGGGGAAACCCUGAUGCAGCGACGCCGCGUGCAGGAAGACGGUCCUCUGGAUUGUAAACUGCUGUGUUCAGGGACGAUAAUGACGGUACCUGAAUAGAAAGCUCCGGCUAACUACGUGCCAGCAGCCGCGGUAAUACGUAGGGAGCGAGCGUUGUCCGGAAUUACUGGGUGUAAAGGGAGCGUAGGCGGGAGAGCAAGUUGGAUGUGAAAACUGUCGGCUCAACUGACAGACUGCAUUCAAAACUGUUUUUCUUGAGUGAAGUAGAGGCGGA
rnacentral:rRNA from 1 species